AACGAACGCUGGCGGCAGGCCUAACACAUGCAAGUCGAGCGAGGACUUCGGUCCUAGCGGCGGACGGGUGAGUAACGCGUGGGAACGUGCCCCUUGGUACGGAAUAGCCCCGGGAAACUGGGAGUAAUACCGUAUGAGCUCUACGGAGGAAAGAUUUAUCGCCAAGGGAUCGGCCCGCGUUGGAUUAGGUAGUUGGUGGGGUAAUGGCCUACCAAGCCGACGAUCCAUAGCUGGUUUGAGAGGAUGAUCAGCCACACUGGGACUGAGACACGGCCCAGACUCCUACGGGAGGCAGCAGUGGGGAAUCUUAGACAAUGGGCGCAAGCCUGAUCUAGCCAUGCCGCGUGAGCGAUGAAGGCCUUAGGGUUGUAAAGCUCUUUCAGCUGGGAAGAUAAUGACGGUACCCGGAGAAGAAGCCCCGGCUAACUUCGUGCCAGCAGCCGCCGUAAUAC
rnacentral:rRNA from 1 species